GAUAAUAUUUUGGUAUUUUAUCUUCAUUUGCAGGAAUAUCAAUUAGACUGUGUCAUGACUGCACUCUUGCACAUACAUUCAUACCUUUCUGUUACUACAGUGGGAUUCUUCUCAAUACUACCAAAAGUUCAGGUUCCAGCCUCAGCUCAUCAUACCCUACCUCUGUGGUGCUCAGUGAGACGAAGCACUGAUACCUACCUUUGACUAGGGGACUGUGUUCCAGAUGACUGAAGUCAGGUGAAGUAAAACCCAUUUGAAUGUGACAAAGGUACAUGUAAGCACUGAAUGAGAACAGACAGCCAGAGACAGCAAACCAACAUGUACUCAGCAUCCUAGUAACAAAUAAUAAUUGAACAUGAACAUUCCUAAUCUUAAAGUAGGAACCUGACAUCAGUUCCUGGCUGAAUUCUUACCUGGCUUUUUGCUUUUUUUUUUUUUUUUCCUUUAGAAUAGCACAGUAAAUAUAGCUUUUUGAGGAUGCUUUGUCACCAUGUACUAUUGCCUUUUUAUUAUCCCUGGCCAGAGUAAUCAAAUUAGGACACUUAAUACUAAUGCUUUGUAUAAUCAUAGAUAUCCUUGUGUAGACUGUGGAUCAGUAAAAGCCUUUACUUCAUAUAGUAUGGCAGUUUCAUAGACAUUUUUAGAUAAGGGAAUCUGUGUCAUUUUAUCAUGCUCCCUGUUCUGAAGGAAAUGGCUGACGUAUGUAAUGCAGACAGGAAUGUUAUUCUAUCUAAACUUUAAAACCAAGUAAUCUGAAAAACAGGAAUGUUAUUCUAUCUAAACUUUAAAACCAAGUAAUCUGAAAAACCAUUCACUGUAAAGACUUAAUGUUUUUGAAAACCCUGUUGUUUUGGUCCUAGAGAAUCUGCUAUGAAGAUGCAUUGUAUAUAUCUUUACAACUGACAUGAAGGAACACUUAUUUUUUUGUUCCUGAGUUCUAAGGUUUUUAUUUUUUUCUUUUGAGGUACUAAAUAAUCCCCAGAAAAAGAUUCUUUGGGAUUUCCUGGAUACCACACAGCACAGACUUCUAGCCCUGCAGCUGGACCAAUAGUCUCUCUUAUCAUUUAAAAGAUGCAUCAGAUUUGAUCCCAGAUAAUUUAAAUGAAGACAGGUAGAAUCCUAAACCAAACACAUAAUAUUUAAUACUUCUGUAGGUCUCACAAGUUUUUCUCUCAGUGAAUUAAAAACUCAUCACCGUAAUUUUUUUAAGACUAGUCAAGUAGGGUUUUUAAUGAUUUGGAAUCUUUUAAAAGAUACUUUAAAGUGCUGUGUCUCAUCUUCAAAAUGGUUUAAAAUUCAUCAAGUUGGAAUGAUUUUUUUUAGAUAAGAGCUGAAGUUUCUCUGACUUUCCUGCAGUGCUUGAUGUUACUCAUAUCCAAAUGGCAACAAUGUGUAGAGAAAUGUGAUAAUAAAAUCCAUUGAGUAAGGAGGUGUUAAUACA
rnacentral:lncRNA from 1 species